UUUGCUAGUCAGGUGGGAAUGAAAUUUGUGUGAGCGGAUGGCAGCGAAUGGGUUGAUACGUUCAUAGGUAUCGUAAUGGCUCCGUUCAUGUGGAGUUCUAGAGGGAAUAUCAACCGGUUUUUAACUGAUGUUCAAAUAUUACAAUACCUUAUCGUCUUAGUCGGAUUAUUUAAUUUGUCUUUGUGUCUUUAUGAGGAUCAAAUUGGAAAAUUUGACUGGAAACAGAAUUAUGUUGGUAAAAUUAAAUUUGCCAGUUUCGAUACGGUCUCGACCGCGAAAAAGAUUGUUGUUGCCACCGAGGAAAAUGUUAUUGCUGCGUUAAAUCUUAAGUCAGGACAAAUAUUAUGGAGGCGUGUAUUAGAAAAAGGAUAUGCAGGCCAUAUUCAUGCACUGGGUGGAGUCUCAGAUGGAGAUCUUGUUUCUGUAAGCGGAGGUGUACCGGCCAUUGUCCGUGCAUGGGAUUUAGCAACUGGACAUAUUCUUCACGAAUGGCCAAUAGCUGAGCAAAAUCCUGAUAGAAUCAAGGAUAUUAAGUGGCACAUAAAAGAUGGUACGCUACAUCAUAUUUUACCAAUCUAUAAUAGUGGUGUUGAGGUGACAUCUUAUGAAAGUAAAACAGGAGACAAAUUGAAAAGCAGAAGAGUCAGUGCACCAUUUAUUACUCAAGACACAGAAUGUGUUUUAGCAGCACCAUAUCUAGCAUGUUUACAUGUAGAUGGUUCGUUCGUGUUACUGUUCUUAGUAUACUUAUUUGAUACAAACGCUCGACCACAAUCGGUUUCGAUAAAUACAAUAUUUGGCGCUGGUACACAAGGCCCAUAUCACUUGGAAUCAGUACUCGGCGAGGAACCUGCUAUUUCAAUUAGUGCGGAUGGUAAUCAGAGAAAACGAAUUCUUCUUCUCAGAGAUGUUCCUGUUCCUCUUCAGAGAGAUAUAGCUGGUAAUGCUAUGCUUUAUAUUGUUUCAAUUGAUAAUGAAAAAGUGCUCCUAGAAGCGACAUAUCAAUCUGGAGUAACGAAAAUCGUAGCUACAGAACUUUUAACAUCAAACCCUCUGCCAAAUUUAUCAAUCAGCGUAACGCAUCCAUCGCUAAUGUCUCCGACAAUUAUGGCUUCGGUUUGUCCGCGGCAAGCGAAAGGUGUAACAUGUCGUCAUUUGCUAUCUUCGCAAGACCACAGUGUCGCGUUGUUACAACAUAAUAAAUUAAUAUGGGUCAGGGAAGAAGCACUUGCCAGUAUCGUAGCUGUGGAGAUUAUAGAAUUACCUAUGUCGGAUAGAGAGCAAGCAAUUGAAACAGAAUUCGAUCAGAAAGAAAGUAUUGAUGUAGACAGUUCAUGGGAUGUGCUGAGCAUGAUCUUCAGAAGGGUCAGUUCUCAAUUUAAACAAGCAAAGGCAUUUGCGCAAUCUGUGUUAAGCCUUGCACCUGAACAGUCCAGUCAACGUACAGAUUUAGUGCGAGAUAAAUUUGGAUUACAUAAAAUGAUCGUUCUUGUUACAUCUGCAGGAAAAUUAUUUGGUAUCGAAACUAGGAAAGGUGAAAUUAUUUGGCAACUUAGAGUGCCUAAUAUUCAAGGAUUCAUUAAAACUUCUAACUCAAUAAUCUUGUAUGUGCAACGUGGUAGCCGACAUUUUCCGUAUCCACCACAAUGUACACUACUAGCAGAAGAUAAAAAAACGGGAGGAGUUAUAUAUACAUUUAACCCAAUUACGGGUCAACCAUUGGAUGGUUUAGUAAAGUUAGGGUACAAAAUAAAGCAAUCCAUGUUGCUUCAUGUUGCAACAGAUGAUUUCUUACGCGGUAUUCUUAUUCUCGAUACUCGGGAUAAGGUACACGUAUACCCCGAAGGUGCAACUGCAAUUGCUGCAUCGCUUGGUAAAAAUACGUACAUAUUUACCGCUGAUCAAACAACCGGUGUAUUGUCCGGAUUUUCUCUUUCAUAUAGCACAACCCAAGAACUUAUCGCUCAUAAAGUGUGGGAACUACUGCUUUCAUCGAAAAACCAAAGAAUAACGCACGUUGUAUCGAAAAACCCACUAGAACGUGUUCAUUCUCAGGGUAGAGUUCUAAGCGAUAGAUCAGUUCUAUACAAAUAUAUUAAUCCUAAUUUGGUCGCUAUAGUAACAGAGGGUGUUGGAUACACUCAUAAAAAUACGCUUAACCUGUAUUUGUUAGAUGUAGUAUCUGGGGCAAUGAUAUUCUCCAUUAUACAUAAAAGAGUACGUGGUCCAGUGCACAUUGUGCAUUCAGAAAAUUGGAUAGUAUACAGUUAUUUUAAUGAAAAGAGUCGUAGGACUGAAAUUGCUAGUUUAGAACUUUAUGAAGGAAAAAUACAGAGUAAUACCACAGUGUUCUCGUCGUUAUCUACGACUAAGUUGCCAAUUGUAGAGAGGCAAGCCUUUAUUUUUCCGGCGGCAAUUGAAUCAAUGCGAGAGACUAUUACAGAAAAGGGUAUUACGAGCAAACAUAUUAUAGUGGCCCUAGCCAAUGGCGGAGUAUUGGAAUUACCAUGGAUGUUGGUAGAUCCACGACGGCCUAUUAACCCAGAAAUACGUGAAGAAGGUGUAAUACCAUAUAUGCCAGAGAUACCUAUUCAAAUGGACGCAAUAAUUAAUUAUAAUCAAAGUGUCUUUAGGGUGUCAAAUAUUCAUACUAGUCCUAGUGGCCUUGAAAGUACUUGCUUAGUUUUUGUACAUGGUCUUGAUUUGUUCUAUACGCGCGUGGCACCAUCUAAAACAUUUGAUGUUUUGAAAGAAGAUUUCGAUUAUUGUCUAAUUAUGAUAGUAUUGGCAGCGCUUGUGAUUGCAUCGUACGUCACAAAAAAGUUAGCAUCCCAGAAAGCUCAGAAGCAAGCCUGGAAAUAAUGUUUCUUUUCUUUAGAGAAUCAUUGCGUAACAUUCUUAAGUAUCUGUACACUAAAGAACGCACACACUAGGUAACAUAUUUCGUAAUCUUUCACGGCAAAGUGUGCUAGUCAUUAUAUGACAAGAGUGGACCAUAAUCGCUACAUAUUAAAUUAUUAAAGUAACUGACAACAUGCUCAAAAUACGAAGACCUUUCCAUUUAAACUACGUUCAUAGUUAUAAAUUUCUUUUACAUAUAAUCAAAUGGAAUGCAAAUACAAAAAUAAAGAACACACAUAGGGAAAUGUUGUUAAAGGAAGAAAAAUGAAGAAUAUAAAAAUCUCAUUUAUUACUUAUAAACAUAUUAAUUUAUUGCCACCUAUAAAACUAGUGACAUACAAUUGAAAAAAACUUUAAAGCAAAUUCCUAUCGAGCAUAUCUUAUAUUUUUCAGAGACACUGUUCAUAACUGCAUUUACUGAAGAAACAGCUAGAAAGUAUUACAAAAUACAGAAACUGUACGUCAUAAAUUUCGAAUUCGCCGCAUUUAUAAGCAUUUUUCUUUUGCUUUUUCAAAUGGACGAUACGGUUUCACCUGUUAAUAAAAUAUUGUAUAAACGCUGGCAUUUUAAUUCUAUUUAAAAACUUGAAAAAGGCAUGAACAACUAGUUUUAAAAUAUUACUUAUAUUUAUAAUUGUGAUACAAGCAGAACGAGGAAAUUCAAUUACUAUAGCAUAUCAGUCUGUGAAAACUGUAUGAAGCAAAAUGUGUCACAGUACAAACGAAUGAUUUUAUUUAUUAUAUACUUAUAAUUAAAUAAAUAUUCAAUGAGCUAUGUCAUUUGUGAAUAGAACAAAUAGAAAAAACACUUCUGUUGUAUAGGAUAAUUAUUUGCUUUGUAGAUAAAUGUAAAAGUUUCAAAUAGACAUAAGUUAUUGUACAAAUAAGAAUGUAAACAGUAAUAUCACAGAAAUGUAAAAUGUGGGCUACAUUUAUGGAAUGAAAACAAAUAUUAAAUACAAGUUGUAUACAAAUAAAAAUCUAAAAGAUUA